GCAGGUGAAUAUCUGAAUUGGUAAAAUCCAAAUUUGAGUUUGUGUCCAACUGGUGUAGGUGGAGCUUGUAAAGAGAAAAACACCUUCCGACUUGCUUCUGCCGGAGGACAAGAAGAUCUCCACUAGGACAAUACUCCAUUACUAAACAAGAAAGAUUAUCUGAUGCAAACUGGGAACGAGAAAAGGAUAAUCCUAACCACUAACCAUUACCCACCACUCCAGCACCGCGCAACCUCCAUUGAAAUGACGUCGUUUCUGCACUUGCCAGCAACUUCCUUUCUUCCUUCUUCUCUCCGCGGAGCUUCCCUCACAGCUCGGCCCAAUCCCAGCUCGCUCUGUCCGACCCGGUUGAGUGUUAAAUGCAGGCAUGCACAGGCUAGUGUAAAGAGCGAGGAUUUUAAUUCUGGCGCCAUAGACGUUGCGGCUGACGUUAGGCUUGAACGGGUAAGCACAAAUUCACAGACCUUAUCCCGUCUGGAAUCGAAUUACUACUCGAUCAGAGACGACCUCGGACCUACUGGACUUACUCGACGAUUCCGAUCUCAUUCCAGCGCUCGUUCAUGAAGAGCUUCGAGGAAGAGAUUUCGGGCGAUGGUGACUGAGCUAGUACUCCGCCGAUUGAAGAUGGAGGUGGACUCGGUUCAUGAUGGCAGGGGGAGAGAGAGACUCCAAGAAUUUAAAAAGAGUGGCACUGGUGUAAUUUUUUAUUUUUCAGAGCUUAAAAUGAACAUUUUGAUUUUUUGAUUUUAAAUGA